UAAUUAUUAGUCUUUUGUGAGUCAUUUCUCUAGAAUUAUUUCAAUCACAGCAUCAUAUCUAAUGCUUCAAAACAACCAACAUUAUAUCCCGCUAUGACCACUGAAAAUGUUUUUUUCCCAACCCAUAAUUUGCCAGAUCUCUAGAGAAAUCAUCCUGUCACAUGCCCUUGAUCUAGAUGUGAAAAUCAAUGUUGUAUGAAUAUGGAUCAAAAUUUAUCCACGUUAACUUUUUUAUCAAAGUAAUGGUAUAGAAAGCCACGUUCAUCAGUGAUUUUUAUUAGAGGUCAACUAUGUUUGAACUUUCUCAAUAAGUCAAUCCCCGCCAACUUCAGAAAAAAAGCCAUAUUCCUAUUCAAAACUAAAAUAUAUAUUUAUCAAAUGUAGAAAUAAAUAAUGUUUUUAAUCAAUUCGUACAUCAUUGAAGUAGGAUAUCAAUUCUAGUUAUUUUGACAACAGAACCAAGAAGAUCUUUAAUGUGGUCAAACUGAAGCUAAAGUUUGUUUAAAAC
rnacentral:lncRNA from 1 species